CCUCUGGUAUGCCGGUUGUCGCGCCAGCGGCACGGCCGGUUGGCUACGUUCGGGAGGGAUAACCGCUGAAAGCAUCUAAGCGGGAAGCCUGCUCCAAGAUUAGGAUUCCAUGGAUCUUCGAGAUCCUGUAGCCCGCAUGUUGAACACGUGUUGAUAGGCCGGAGGUGGAAGCCCCGUGAGGGGUGGAGCCGACCGGUACUAACGGGCGACGGCGACA
rnacentral:rRNA from 1 species